GACAUUAAAAGUAACAGUAGUAUCUGUCUAGAUGUCCCGAAGGAGCUGCGCAGUUCUCCAUCGACCAUUCCAAACCGUUGAUUAUCUGUUUAUACGGUCCAUGGUACCACCAACUGCCAGCAACGUACAUCUACUGCAGAUUUUGGAGAUUGAUUUAUGGUGAUGUUUCACUUCUUCCAGAGCUUCAGUUCUUGCUUAGCAGAAUAAUUACAGCUGACAGUGAAUUUGGACGUUGGCAUUCAGAACUCGG